rnacentral:rRNA from 1 species
UGCACCUACGGGGCGCAGCAGUGAGGAAUAUUGGUCAAUGGCCGUAAGGCUGAACCAGCCAAGUCGCGUGAAGGAAGAAGGAUCUAUGGUUUGUAAACUUCUUUUAUAGGGGAAUAAAGGUAUCCACGUGUGGAUAUUUGCAUGUACCCUAUGAAUAAGCAUCGGCUAACUCCGUGCCAGCAGCCGCGGUAAUACGGAGGAUGCGAGCGUUAUCCGGAUUUAUUGGGUUUAAAGGGUGCGUAGGUUGUUUUUUAAGUCAGCGGUAAAAUUGCGGGGCUCAACCCCGUCGAGCCGUUGAAACUGGC